rnacentral:rRNA from 1 species
AGGUGCUGCAUGGCUGUCGUCAGCUCGUGUCGUGAGAUGUUGGGUUAACGUCCCGCAACGAGCGCAACCCCCGCCUUUAGUUGCUACCGGGUCAUGCCGAGCACUCUAAGGGGACCGCCGGCGUUAAGCCGGAGGAAGGUGGGGAUGACGUCAAGUCCUCAUGGCCCUUAUGUCCAGGGCUACACACGUGCUACAAUGGGCGGUACAGAGGGUUGCCAACCCGCGAGGGGGAGCCAAUCCCAAGAAAGCCGUCCUCAGUUCAGAUUGGAGUCUGCAACUCGACUCCAUGAAGGUGGAAUCGCUAGUAAUCGCGGAUCAGCAUGCCGCGGUGAAUACGUUCCGGGCCUU